GGAGCAACGCCGCGUGAGUGAUGAAGGUUUUCGGAUCGUAAAGCUCUGUUGUUAGGGAAGAACAAGUGCAAGAGUAACUGCUAAAACCUUGACGGUACCUAACCAGAAAGCCACGGCUAACUACGUGCCAGCAGCCGCGGUAAGGGGUAGGUGGCAAGCGUUGUCCGGAAUUAUUGGGCGUAAAGGGCUCGCAGGCGGUUUCUUAAGUCUGAUGUGAAAGCCCCCGGCUCAACCGGGGAGGGUCAUUGGAAACUGGGAAACUUGAGCCCCGAAGAGGAGAGUGGAAUUCCACGUGUAGCGGCGAAAUGCGUAGAGAUGUGGAGGAACACCAGUGGCGAAGGCGACUCUCUGGUCUGUAACUGACGCUGAGGAGCGAAAGCGUGGGGAGCGAACAGGAUUAGAUACCCUGGUAGUCCACGCCGUAAACGAUGAGUGCUAAGUGUUAGGGGGUUUCCGCCCCUUAGUGCUGCAGCUAACGCAUUAAGCACUCCGCCUGGGGAGUACGGUCGCAAGACUGAAACUCAAAGGAAUUGACGGGGGCCCGCACAAGCGGUGGAGUUUUUGGUUUAAUUCGAAGACCCGCGAAGAA
rnacentral:rRNA from 1 species